AUUGAACGCUGGCGGCAUGCUUUACACAUGCAAGUCGAACGGCAGCGCGGGCUUAGCCCUGGCGGCGAGUGGCCAACGGGUGAGUAAUUCAUCGGUACGUGCCCAGCUGCGGGGGAUAGCGCGGCGACAGCCGGAUUCAUACCGUAAUCGACCUGAGGGUGUAAGCGGGGAAGCGAAAGGCCUCGCGCCAUUGGAGCGGCCGAUGUCGGAUUAGCUAGUUGGUGGGGUAAAGGCUUACCAAGGCGACGAUCCGUAGCUGGUCUGAGAGGACGACCAGCCACACUGGAACUGAGACACGGCCCAGACUCCUACGGGAGGCAGCAGUGGGGAAUUUUGGACAAAGGGGGCAACCCUGAUCCAGCCAUGCCGCGUGCGGGAAGAAGGCCUUCGGGUUGUAAAGCGCUUUUGUUCGGGAAGAAAAGCUGUGGGCUAAUACCCCGGUGGGAUGACGGUACCGAAAGAAUAAGCACCGGCUAACUACGUG
rnacentral:rRNA from 1 species